ACUCCUACGGGAGGCAGCAGUGGGGAAUCUUGCACAAUGGGGGAAACCCUGAUGCAGCGACGCCGCGUGAGCGAUGAAGCCCUUCGGGGUGUAAAGCUCUUUCGGCAGGGAAGAUGGUGACGGUACCUGCAGAAGCAGCUGCGGCUAACUACGUGCCAGCAGCCGCGGUAAUACGUAGGCAGCAAGCGUUGUUCGGAGUUACUGGGCGUAAAGGGUGUGUAGGCGGUUGUUUAAGUUUGGUGUGAAAUCUCCCGGCUCAACUGGGAGGGUGCGCCGAAUACUGAAUGACUUCGAGUGCGGGAGAGGAGAGUGGAAUUCCUGGUGUAGCGGUGAAAUGCGUAGAUAUCAGGAGGAACACCGGUGGUGUAGGCGGCUCUCUGGACCGUAACUGACGCUGAGACACGAAAGCGUGGGUAGCAAACAGGAUUAGAUACCCUGGUAGUCCACGCCCUAAACGAUGCACAUUUGGUGUGGGCAGUUCAUUCUGUCCGUGCCGGAGCUAACGCGUUAAAUGUGCCGCCUGGGGAGUACAGUCGCAAGGCUGAAACUCAAAGGAAUU
rnacentral:rRNA from 1 species